UCUGGGGACAGGGAUCGCUGCGUGUGGAGAAGGCAUGCAUGGCACGACAGGGCUCAGAUCUUUGUACCAGCCUGCAGCUGCUUCUGUGACAAGUGCAGCAUCUAUGAAGCCUGCUCAUCUGUGGAAAGCACAAAGCUACUAACCAGUGCUAAAGUUCUGGCAGAGAGGACAGUAACUAACCUUCUGAUGUUUGAGAGGAGGGCAAGUUAAAGACUACCAGCAACCUAGAAGAGAAAGUUAAUGUAAAGCAUGGAGGAGAGCAAGGCAACACUCCAGUUCUCCAAGAAUAAACAAAGUAUAAAAGCAAACUCGAGAAUUACUGACAAACCUAAAAGAUAUUUCAAAUGGUGGGAAGAUGGCAUCCAGCUGAUAUAAGAGAAGGAACGAACAACCCUGCAAACCACUGGCAUGUGUACAUCGACAUCCAAAAAUACACCCGGACAGCGCAUCUUAAAACUGCGUGUGAGAGAAGGAGGAUGUCUCUCCCCAAACCUUGUAUUCUGCUGGACCUGAUGCUUGGGCCUGUGGCAGCGCUGCUCUGUGUCAGGAGCCUAACCCCAUGCAAAGCCUCUGAAGCUGCCACCCUGCAAGGACUGAAGUUUUGGAAAACAUUUUGCUUCCAGAUAUGAUACUGUAUUUAUAACUAAUAUGAUACAAAAUAUGAGUGGAGGGAAAACAAUGCAAUUAUACUUGAGGGUUUCUUAUACUAUCAUGUCGUCACGUAAAAUUAAUAGAGAGGUGUUUCUGAUUGUGCUAAUGCAGAAUAGCAGAGAUGGAAAUCCUGUUCUGUCAAUUCUCUCUAAUAGAGCAUUGUUCCCUAUGGCACAUUAUUCACUGCUCUGAUUACUGCAGCUCUGAAUGACUCAGUUUCCGCAUUUCCUUAAAAGAUUACUCAAUCUGUUAAAUAGGUUCAGGACCAAGAGUCUGUUUCCGCACUCAGUUUUAUCCAAUUAAUUCUAACGAUUGGCAACAAUUCUGGACAACUUUGCUUGUAUUGUUUUAUUAUCUUUGUUUUGAGACUGUCAAUGCCCUAUGAGAGAACCUCAUGGAAAAAGACGAUCCCACCUCUAACACUGACAUUUUAAUUCACCAUGUGUGAAGCAAAAAAAAUCAUUGGGUUCUUUCAAUGUGAAUGCUAUACUGUGUGCUCUUAUUCAGUAGGCUUUUUUCCCCUCUAUCACCUUUCAAAUAAUAUCUUUUCACAGAAUUCCAAGUGUCCCAGUGGAAACAUGCUGUGGAUCAUUUUUCUCCCAGUUACUUUACCUAUCCUUUUUCUAGGCCAAAUCUCUUCCAGCGUUGUUUUUUUUAAAUAAUUUCAUUGUAAAGGCUUACAGACAUAACAUGGUGGCAUGCAGAUGUGGAGUAGCAUGAGAUAGUUGUUCCUGGAUUAAUGGUGGGCGCAGGAGGAAAUGGGGUGAGUGAGUCCUUGUUUCACUGCUGUCAAUAAAGGGUCAAUAUUCAAGGAAUUAAAGGGCUGA
rnacentral:lncRNA from 1 species